GAUGAACGCUAGCGGCAGGCCUAACACAUGCAAGUCGAGGGGCAUCGCGGUGCAGCAAUACCGUUGGUGGCGACCGGCGCGACGGGUGAGUAACGCGUAUGCAACCUACCUAUCGAGGAGGGGGACUAACCCGGCGAAAGUCGGACUAAUACCGCAUAAAACAGGGGCACCGCAUGGUGAUAUUUGUUAAAAAUUAAUUGCUGAUAGAUGGGCAUGCGUUCCAUUAGGUAGUUGGUGAGGUAAUGGCUCACCAAGCCGACGAUGGAUAGGGGAACUGAGAGGUUGGUCCCCCACACUGGUACUGAGACACGGACCAGACUCCUACGGGAGGCAGCAGUGAGGAAUAUUGGUCAAUGGGCGAGAGCCUGAACCAGCCAAGUCGCGUGAAGGAAGAAGGAUCUAUGGUUCGUAAACUUCUUUUGCAGGGGAAUAAAGUGGAGGACGUGUCCUCUUUUGUAUGUACCCUGAGAAUAAGGAUCGGCUAACUCCGUG
rnacentral:rRNA from 1 species